rnacentral:tRNA from 1 species
GCCUGGGUGGCUCAGUCGGUUAAGCGUCUGACUUCGGCUCAGGUCAUGAUCUCGCGGUCCGUGAGUUUGAGCCCCACGUCGGGCU